rnacentral:rRNA from 1 species
UACGUAGGCAGCGAGCGUUGUUCGGAGUUACUGGGCGUAAAGAGUGCGUAGGCGGUUUUCUAAGUUUGGUGUGAAAUCUCCCGGCUUAACUGGGAGGGUGCGCCGAAGACUGGAAGGCUUGAGUACGGGAGAGGUAAGCGGAAUUCCUGGUGUAGCGGUGAAAUGCGUAGAUAUCAGGAGGAACACCUGCGGUGUAGACGGCUUACUGGACCAUCACUGACGCUGAGGCACGAAAGCGUGGGUAGCAAACAGG